rnacentral:rRNA from 1 species
GAUAAACGCUGGCGGUAUGCCUAAGACAUGCAAGUCGAACGGUAACAGGCCGCAAGGUGCUGACGAGUGGCGAACGGGUGAGUAAUGCAUCGGAACGUGCCCAGUCGUGGGGGAUAACGCAGCGAAAGCUGUGCUAAUACCGCAUACGAUCUAUGGAUGAAAGCGGGGGACCGUAAGGCCUCGCGCGAUUGGAGCGGACGAUGUCAGAUUAGGUAGUUGGUGGGGUAAAGGCUCACCAAGCCGACGAUCUGUAGCUGGUCUGAGAGGACGACCAGCCACACUGGGACUGAGACACGGCCCAGACUCCUACGGGAGGCAGCAGUGGGGAAUUUUGGACAAUGGGCGCAAGCCUGAUCCAGCAAUGCCGCGUGCAGGAAGAAGGCCUUCGGGUUGUAAACUGCUUUUGUACGGAACGAAAAGGCUCUGGUUAAUACCUGGGGCUCAUGACGGUACCGUAAGAAUAAGCACCGGCUAACUACGUGCCAGCCGCCGCCGUAA